GGGGCGUUAGCUCAGUUGGUAGAGCAGCGGACUCUUAAUCCGUAGGUCGAGCGUUCGAGCCGCUCACGCCCCACCA
rnacentral:tRNA from 4 species